UACGUAGGGUGCAAGCGUUGUCCGGAUUUAUUGGGCGUAAAGAGCUCGUAGGCGGUCUGUCACGUCGGCUGUGAAACCUCGGGGCUCAACCCCGAGCCUGCAGUCGAUACGGGCAGACUAGAGUUCGGCAGGGGAGACUGGAAUUCCUGGUGUAGCGGUGAAAUGCGCAGAUAUCAGGAGGAACACCGGUGGCGAAGGCGGGUCUCUGGGCCGAUACUGACGCUGAGGAGCGAAAGUGUGGGGAGCGAACAGG
rnacentral:rRNA from 1 species